AAAGUAAUACCACGCUGGAGACACUGGUUCUCAUCUGAUCAUCGAGGUAAAGCAAUGUCGGGCCCGGUUAUUACUUGCAUGGGUGAGAUCGGAUAAGAAUACCGAGUGUUGCGGUCGUUU
rnacentral:rRNA from 1 species